rnacentral:sRNA from 1 species
GGAAGGUUUCUCCAGGGAGACUUGAAGCCAGUCUCAGCAUGAGGUGCUUUAUUUUCUACUAUAAUUCUUCACACUUCUGCAAAAUUGUUGGAAGCCUGUACCUCUCGUUUCAGAGGAAGAGAAUGAAUAGAGUUAGUGGGAAAAGGAAUGAAGGCUCUGUGUUUUGUAAAUGUGAUUAAAUGAGCCAACCAAAUACACAUAUUAAUAUGAAUCAGCUUCUACUGUGUUCAAAGCAGGUACAACAAGGAACACCCACCUUUGCCAUGAGUUAACACAAAAACUGGUAUCAUCAUGGGGUAUUGGUGAGAAGAUUGAUACAGUGACCAUAGAUGCAAGA